UCGAACCUGAAUCCUCAUGGUUGCUAGCCAUGGUUGUCGUUUCUGCUGAGCCACAACAAAAACUCCCUCUGAUUUUCUUUCUUUCUUCUUCUUUUUUUUUUUGUAAAUACCAUUUUGAGUACUUACUGUGAGCUUGGUGAUAUACUGAACAAUUCACAACUAAUUAUAAUUUCCUUAUAACAGAUGGGAAAAUUGGAACUCAGAGAAGUUAAGAAAUUUACCCAUGGUCACAUAGGAGGUGAGCUUUAGGAUUAAAAGUCAGGCUUGUCUUUUCAGUAAAUUUUAUUUAUUGAUUUAUUUGUCGAUCAUCUGUUUUAAAUGGCAGCAGUCUAUCGAGAGUGAGUUGAGCUCUGAGCCCGAAAUGUGGAUUUGAGUGUGAGUCCCCAUAAUGCUUCAACUUUUUCAUCUUCAAAGUAAGAAUAAUUUGUCCUUUCUCAUAGAAUUCUUGAAAGGAUCAGAUUAAAAAAGGGUGGCCAAUAGUAUGAGACAUUUGGGGACCAUGGCAUUGAUUAAUGCUCAGCAGGAAGAAAGCUGCAAACAGUUGGAGCCCAGACAACCUAACCCAAAACUGAGUUAACCUCCCUCUCCUCCCCAGCUCUGGGGCAAACAGUAGCUGAGUUGCCGGCCACCUAAGGGUGGCACUGCGUGCUAGAUUAGCCUGGGCUGAUGCUGACACCUCGCGAUCUCCCCUUCUGAAGGAGCAUGGGGAGAGACCGGUUCCAGAGCCCAUCAGCUGAGAGCUUCCGUGCUUCUGACCGUGUGCUUCCACUCGACUUCUCUAUGCCCCAGUUCCCACAACCACGAGGAUCAAAAAACUCACCUCACGGGAUUACGAGGACUGGGAAUAAUAUAUGCCAAGUAUUUCUCGUGGUGCUUGGUACAUAAGAGGCUCUCAGUUAACAGCAGCGCUGAUGCCGUGCUGCCUUCUCGAGUCCUGCGAGACCAGUGGGACUGGGCUUCAGCAGCAUCUCCCUCACGGAGCUUUGUCCGCUCCGCUCGCCUGGACUCUGCUGCCCGGGGUCAAGCCGCAGAAAUUGGCGGUUAACACAUGAGCUUUGGACUCAGGGUGGACGUCCAGCUGGACUAUUAAUGUGGAUGUGAGUUAAAAAUAUUUCUUAAACUCUCUAAACCUUGGUUUGCUCGUCUUUAAAAUGCGCACAAGGAUGGUACUUAAAGGAUUGUCGGGAUAAUGUAAUUGCUCACUCAGCACAGAGCCUUUGCUAAAUGUUUACUAAAUGUUUUCUCUGUUUUGCUUUGUUUUUUGGUUGUGCCCACAGCACAGGUGUGGAAGUUCCUGGGCCAAGAAUCACACCCGCACCCCAAUAGCGACAUUGCUGGAUCCUUAUCUGCUAGGCCACCAGGGAACUCCAAUAAGUGUUUGCUUUGGUUUGAAACAUUGUGAACAUUAUUAACUGAUAUUUUUAUUAAGGUCAUGUAAAUAGGAGGUGCUGGGGCUGUGACUCAAACCCAAAUCUGUCCCAUCUCAUGCACACUUCCUGUGGUGAAUACUUCCAGUAACUGAACUGCUGGUAUGUUCCCUAUUACUAGAAAUAUUUUCAGUAUACAUAAUAUGAUGAUUUUGUGGGAUCCUCUAAAACAGUAGAUGAUUUUUAAGGUCCUUUGAAUUCCUGAGAUCUUAUGAUUCUCUGGAUAACAUAGGAAGUCCCUAAAUCAAAACAUUAUGUCUUAAGCAUUUGUUUGUAAGUUCGUUUUGGGGAGCUUGACAUUUAUUUUCCAUAAGACGCUCCUCCCUACAGAAUGCAGAGACAGCGUAGAGGAAGAAGUCAGAAGAUGAGGUGCUGUCGUACCACAGUUAAAGCUAAAGGCCCCAGAUUGGCUUCCUUCUCCCAACCUCAGUAUCUAAAUAAAUGUAGUCUCAGCAGGGUUUUAGGAGAAAAUAAUCCAUCCCAUGAAUUCAAGCUAAUGUGACUGAGGUGAAACCAAGGGUGGCUGUCGGUUAGCCAUUGAUAUGUGCUGAGCUGUGACCUGCCUUGGGUCAUCCAGCGAGCUUUGAUUAUUUUUAUAAAAGCUUGUAUGUGCUCCGAUCUGGGCGGUAGGAUGUUUGCGCAAGCUGUCUUGUAGGAACUUGGAGUCAGCUGUGUCCAGCGUGAGCCUGAGCCAAUUAAGACUGGCCAAGCUUCCAGCCCUCCAUCUGAGCGUGCAGAAGUGUCUGCGUGGUGACCUUGAUUGAUUGAUUGAUUGAUGGUUGACGGUGUUGUGCCAGUUUCUGCUGUGCAGCAAAGCGACACAGUCGUACUUAGACGUACGUUCUUUUUUUCUCAUACUAUUUUCCAUCACGAUCUAUCCCAGGAGGUUGGAGAUGGUUCCCUGUACUGUACAGCAGGACUUCAUUGCUUGUCUGUUCUAAACCUUCUGAUGCCAGAGAACCCAAAUCUCCACCCUCAGGACGUGCUGGUGCUGCUGUUUUCUCAGCCCGUGUCCCAUGAAGAAGCCUGUGGCUUGGUGGCAUCUUCUCUGAGUGACAGUUGUCUCACCUUUUUCUUAUUUCCAAUUACCUUUUUCCAGGCUCUCAUGCCUCCGUUUUUAUCCCAUAAAUAUCCCCAGCCCCUCGCCUUUAGGGAGGCGGAUCUGAGACUUGUUCCCCAGGCUGAACAAGGCUGACUUGGCUGCCUUGGGAAUAAACCCUUUCUCUGCCACAGACCUCAGCAGCUCAGCGGUUGGCUUUCUGUGCACAGCAAGCAAGCAGGACCCUCUUAGUCUUCCCACGGAGUCACAGAUCCAUUCAUUUAGCGCAUACUGAGUGCCAGCAGUCAAACGGUCGCGAAGUCGUCUGUUUCUCUGGUGUGAGGGCAGGAGCGAUGUUCAGGAAGGAGGCAGUUGGACAGAUUUGAGAAAUAUCUAAAAUUUGUGAUUUAUGGAACAGAGGAAAAUUGGAGGCAGAAAAAUUUUAAUCAACUAUUGCCAUAGUCCAUGUGUGAAGAAUCAAGGGCCUGAACUGUGAUAGUAGUAGUGGGAAUAGAGGAAUAAAACAGCUUUUGAAGAGUGGAUUCUACGGGACAGUUACAUGUAAAUUACUAGAAAUAGUGAAAAUAAGGUUUUCCAGAUUUAGCCAGGAGUUUGAGUUUAGGUUUAUGGGGCAAGUGGAAGUUUUAAUCACCUAUGGGCAACUUGUAUUUAUGGGCACGAUACUCCAUCUGAAUGGAAAUAUCCUUUGGUAGCUAGAAAAACGGUCAGUGCCAGAAGUACGGAUUUGGAUGUUAUCUGCAUAGAGAUGACAGAAUUGCUUAAGUGCAUGAGGGAAAAUGAAGAAUAUCAGGACUGGAAGGAAAAGGUGAAAGAAUUAAUAAGAGAGAAUUAAUAAGAAACGGUCAAAGAAGCAUUGUAUCAUGAGACCUAGAAAUAGGGUGUCAACAGCGUCAAAUACUGUGCGGAAAGCAGGUAGGAUGAGGCCUGUGACAAGAACGCUGGAUUUGGCAGGUGGUCCCUGGAGCCCCUGGAGCCCCUGGAGAUUGGGUAAGAAAAGGUGCUGGUGGCCAAGUCAGGUUCCAAAGGCUCAGGCAGGAAUGACAGAUUUGCAAACAGAUGGAUAGGAUGGUAACAGAAAGGGUAAUGAAGACAAGAAAAAUCACUUUUUUAAUGAAAACUAGUUUAUGGUUAACAGGGAUACGGAAGAACUGAUGGAGAGGCAGACUUAAGAAGCGUCAGAGGGAGACAGCACGGUGCCUGCCCGUCAAGCUUCUUCGUCUCUAGUCUCACUGAUGACCUUCCAUCCUCUCUGUCAGCGCCGAUGUGGUCAGUCUCGGCGGACGUGCCUCUCUGGAGUCCUCAUUGCCAGUGCGAGUCCAGGAUCCUUAGCAGAGCCCUCGGCCCGAUACCUUGCCCUCUGGUUCUGAGCCCCCUUUCCCGUUUCAUCCUUUGCCAGUCAAGGCACAGGAGACUUCAGCGUCUUUCCGGACUGGGUCUUUGUACACAUUGCUUUUUCUGCCUGGAAGACCCUUCUUCCUAUCUUUCCUAUGGAAAAUGCUAACACAUCCUUCAGCACCUGGCGCAAAUGUCACCUUGUUUUUGAACCCUUUCCUGACUCCCCAGGCCCAUUUCAGGUCUCCUUCUUUGGAGCUUCAACUGGAAUUUGUCCAUGAAUGAUAUUUUUGUCUCAGCCUCCUGUAUGGUAAUUUAAAAGUCUCCAUAGCUGUGUUCCUCAUUAGAUAUGAUCUCUUAAUACAAGGACUGUCUUUUUAUUGUUGUAAUCCCCACAGCUGGCACAAAACAAACGCUUGCUAAAAGCAUCAGGAAUGGCUGAGUGAGUAUUACUGCAAAGCGAUGUAUUUUGAGGUAUGUAGGAUGGAAGCGAAGAAUAUCUCAGUGCUGAGUGAGAGAAGCCAGACGCUGGAGUGCAAAUACUGCAUGAGCUCACGCACGUGGGGAAUCUAAAGUGUCAAGCUCAUGAAACCAGCACGCAGGAUGGUGGUUGCCAGGGCUGGGCUGUGGGGGAAGUGGGGAGAUUUGGUCACAUUUUCAACUGUGAGACGAAAAGUUCUGAAAAUCGAAUGCACAGUAUGGGGAUCAUAGGGAGUCGCAAUACUGGAUCGAGUACUCAGAACUCGCUAAGAGAGUAGUUUGGAAGUGUUCUCCGCACACACGCAAAGAUGCUGACGGUGAGGGUGGAUGUGUUGACUGACCUGAUUAUGGUAAAUAUCUCACAAUGCGUAGUAAAUCAUCGCAUUGAUCGCCUUAAAAAAUCAUGUCGUGCAAACUAAAUGUAUAUGCUUUUUAUUUGUCAAUCAUUCUUCAAAAAAAUUGGGGUGGAACAGCUAUAUGAAUUUGAGCAAGUUAUUCUCUCUGAACCCAAGUUUCCUAUUGGUGAAACAAGGAUAAAACUUACCCUAUAGUGUGCUCGUGAGCAUAAAAUCUACAAAAUAUAGGUCCAACAAUUAGGGACCAGCAUUUAUUAAUCAUUAAUGUUAGUUAUUUCCAACUCCCACCACCAUGGCAUGGAUCUCUUAGUAGUUGCUCUCUGGUUUUGCAUUUGGUUGCAACUUUAGUCCUUUCUCUAAGAGAAGUUUUUUGUUUGUUUUUUAAGUUAAAUUUUAAUGUUAAGAACGUUAAACUCAAGUCUGUCUUUACGUAGCAAUGUUUCAUCUACCUAAAUGAUGCAAUCUAAUUAAAAAUACUCAUUUGGCAUAAAAUGAAUUCAACAAAAAUGUAGAAUUAAAUGUAUGGGUUGGUUUUGUAAGUUUACAAUUAAGUCCAAGUUGUUUUAUGAGUCUCCAGAUAACUUCCUAGAGGAGACUCUAGCUUUGAGGCUCACACCACUGGGAUGCAAGGACCCGCUUCUUGUCUUAUCUUGAGGAUUGUGUUGCCACGAGUGAUUUAAAUCAGCUCUUUCAAAUUUUUUUUCAGCAGAAUUUUUGUGAUUAAUAAAAACAUGUGCUUACAGCUUUUUUGCGUAGAUAAAGGAAAGGAUUCUACAUCCGAUUUAGAUCAAGAGAUAGAUUUUCAGGAGAAAAUGAUGGAUGUGUCCACUGGGAAUAGUGGAAUGCCAUGAUGUUUGGUCGCUGACUGAUGGAAUCUAAGACAUUUGUGAACACUUCCACGCCCACACCCACGCAAACACACAAACAGUGGUCACAAAUGCAGAGCCAGGCACUGCCUCUCUCCCCAGUCUCAUAUCCCGAGUGCAUCCGUUGUUUUCCAUAGCAUGAAAUAAAUCCCUCUUCUUUGCCCAGUGGUGAAAAGCUUAUAUAAAUACUAAAACUUCAACUAUUCCCAUGAGGUUUCCUUUGGCAAGCCUGCAGCUAUGGGUUUGUUUGGAUAUUGACAUGGAUUUUCUGUGCAGAUCUGUUCAGGCCACUUGGGUGAGUCCAAUGGUGAUAAAUUCACUUGUCUCGAAAAUGUAUCCGACGCACCGUUAUAACACUCUGUUUAUGAAAACUUAAAUAAUUGACACCCUGAUUGAAAAGGCUCGAGGUUCAAAGUGUCUCUUUUAGUCUUUCAACAUACAUCAUUCUGGUGAUAUAUAUCUAUAUAUAUCUUAGGAACUCUUGGCCAGGAGAUGACUUUAACAGUCGUUGUAAAGAAAACAUGGAUAUGAAGAAUUGACUAACGCAAGACAUUUAAUUUUGCAUUUGUGGUGUUCCCAUGGAAGAAUAUUUUUUAAAAUUUAGGUGCGAAGUAUUUUUUUUGUGGUUGUUAAUGACCACACGGUGCCAUAUGAACAUUCCUGGACCGGGGGUUGAAUCUGAGCCACAGCUGUGACCAGUGCCACAGUGGGGACUCUAGAUGUGAAGUAUUUUGUUGUGUACCAGCCAGGGAUAGGCAACAUUGCUGGGCCAUGAUUAAAAUGUAUAAUGACAUCUUUAUUGUAAUGGCGAGAAAAGGGAAGGCAUUAUUUUAAAAGACAAUAAUCAAAUGUAAUACUAACUUAAAUUUUAUAAAUCAGAUCCUUAGGUAAAAAAGAUGCGAUUGAAUAUAAUUGUCCAUAAGCAGUCUAUCUUUUAGAGCCUAUGUUAAUUCAAACUUUUAUCUUUUCUUUUUUCUUUUUACCUAUUAGCUGGCAAUUAGAGAAGUGUCCUCAAAAUAUUUAUACUGUUUUUAAUCCUUUUUUCAAAUAGUGGAAGAAGUGUUAUUUGUCUGACAUAAAUUCCCACACAAUCUGCUGACCUUAGACUAAUUCUAGCUAUGCCUAAGAGAGCUGGAAAGAAGCCCAUGGCAGUUCCCGUCAUGGCUCAGUGGUUAACGAAUCUGACUAAGAACCAUGAGGUUGCAGGUUCCAUCCCUGGCCUCGCUCAGUGGGUUAAGGAUCUGGCGUUGCCUUGAGCUGUGGUGUAGGCCUCAGCCUCGGCUCGGAUCCCGCGUUGCUGUGGCUCUGGCGUAGGCUGGCGGCUACAGCUCUGAUUCGACCCCUAGCCUGGGAACCUCCAUAUGCUGCGGGUGAGGCCCUAGAAAAGACAAAAAGAAAAAAAAAAGAAAGAAGCCCAUGAAUAUGGAAUAUUUCUGCUGUAUUUCCACUAGCCCUUCCAUACUAGCGAAGCGUUUUCUUUGCUGCCAGUAAUUUACUAGAGCUCUUGCUUUUUAAAAAUCUCUUUUAACAUACAUCACUACUUCACUAAAAAUAGUUUGCUAUUUUAACAAUUAGCAGUUCUGAAAUUCUUCAGAUAAUACAGACUUUGAGUGUUGAGUUGUCUUUGAGGAUCUAAGAUAUUGUUUCUGUGCUCACUGUCUUAACAGAGAACUAAAAAACAGUGCAUCUCAUUAAUGAAUUAGGUCUCCUUUCCCUCAGGCCUAAUGGAGGGAAGAAAGGCCAUCCAGUAAGCUUUUGUGUCUGUGAGGUCCCGACUUUUAGUCAAAGUCAAAUCAAACCAGAGGUAGAGGACUGCAUCAGUGUGCGUGCUGUUGGCUACACUGAGAUAGCGGUCUAGGCACGUCUCCGUCUGUUCUGAUCAGUGAGCCACAGUGCAAACCCGUAAGUAGUUAAACGGUUUUUUUAGGCCAAUGGUUGUGGCUGUUAAUUCUGAUGUCCUUUAAAUAUGAUGGAGGUAAAACAUACAGCUUUCUUUUAAAACGACUGCAUUAGGUUGUUUUUGUUUUGAGGAAUAAUUUAGUGUAUCCGUAUCUUCCUUAACCUGAUAAUACUAUGCCUGAGACCCAAAAAGCCCUUUCCACAGUGACGUUCUGCUCAAAACUGCAGUGAUAUCAUAUGAUCAUAUUAAAUUUCGCAAGUGCUCAGUGCAACAUUUGAAGCUCAAUUAAUGCUAUUUUCUGUAUAGUCUCUCUUCUCCAAGGGACUCCAUGUCAAAAAGUCUGUAAGGUCAUGGGAGUUCCCAUGUGACUCAGUGGGUUAAGGAUCUGGCAUUGUCACUGCAGCAGCUGGGGUCGCUGCAGUGCUGCUCUGGCGCGGUUCUCUCCAUGGCCAGGAAACUUCCAUGUGUCAUAGGCACAGCCAAAAA